ACUGGUACCUGCUGGUACUCAGUGGUACUCACUGGUACUCACUACCCCCAUAGGAAACCUACUGGUGCCCACUGGUACUCAUCGGUACUCACUGGUAUCCUCUGGUUCACAUUGGUACCCACUGACACUCAUUGGUACCCAGUGGUACUCAUCGGCACUCACUAUCCCCAUAGGUACCUACUGGUACCUGCUGGUACUCAGUGGUACUCACUGGUACUCACUACCGCCUUAGGUACCUACUGGUACCUGCUGGUACUCAUUGGUACUCACCGGUAUCUGCUGGUUCUCAACGGUACCCAUAGGUACUCAUAGGUACCCAUUGGUACUCAUCAGCACAAUCCCCAUGGUACUUACUGGUUCCCACCUGGCACUCAGUGGUACCCAUUGGUACUCAGUGGCACUCACUACCCCCACAGGUACCUCCUACUGGUACCUGCUGGUACUCAGUGGCACUCACUGGUACUCACUACCCCCAUAGGCACCUACUGGUGCCCGCUGGUACUCAGUGGUAGUCACUGGUAUCUGCUGGUUUUCAUUGGGACCCACUGACACUCAUUGGUACCCACUGGUACUCACCGGCACCAUCCCCAUGGUACCUACUGGUACCUGCUGGUACUCAGUUGUACUUACUGGUACUCACUACCACCUUAGGUACCUACUGGUACCUGCUGGUACUCAUUGGUACUCACCGGUAUCUGCUGGUUCUCAACGGUACCCAUAGGCACCCAUUGGUACCCAUUGGUACUCAUCAGCACUAUCCCCAUGGUACUUACUGGUACCCACUGGCACUCAUUGGUACCCAGUGGUACUCAUCAGCACUCACUAUCCCCAUAGGUACCUACUGGUACCUGGUGGUACUCACUGGUACUCACUGGUAUCUGCUGGUUCUGAUUGGUUCCCAUUGGCACUCAUUGGUACCCAUUGGCACUCAUUGGCACCAUCCCCAUGGCACCUACUGGUACCCGCUGGCACUCAGUGGUACCCAUUGGUACUCACUGGCACUCACUACCCCCACAGGUACCUACUGGUUCCUGCUGGUACUCGUUAGUACUCACUGGUAUCCUCUGGUUCUCAUUGGGACCCACUGACGCUCAUUGGUACCCAUUGGUACUCAUAGGCACUCACUAUCCCCAUAGGUACCUACUGGUACCUGCUGGUACUCAGUGGUACUCAGUGGUACUCAAUGGUACUCACUACCCCCAUAGAAAACCUACUGGUGCCCACUGGUACUCAUCGGUACUCACUGGUAUCCUCUGGUUCACAUUGGUACCCACUGACACUCAUUGGUACCCAGUGGUACU
rnacentral:lncRNA from 1 species